GAAGUUAUAGCUCAGUGGUAGAGUGUGUGCUUAGCAUCAACAAGGUCCUGGGUUCAAUCUCCAAUACUUUCA
rnacentral:tRNA from 1 species